CGAAGUUGUAGCACCAACUACAAUCGCCAUUCCUUUAUCCCUCCGAAUCGAUCUCUGUUCAAUCUCAUCCGUGAAUUGAUUUGAAAACCCAUCUGAAUUCAUACAUUCGAAAUGCUCGAAUUCAAGAUGAUCAAGAAGAAAAUGUGGAUGUUUUCUAUCUGAUUCCUCGCCUGUAACUAUCUAUUUGCACGAAUCGUUAUGGAAGGUAUGAAAAAAACCAGAGUUUCCAGCAAGAUUUUGAGCAACAGAGUCUGUGUACAACGAAGCUUCACUCUCCACAAGCUUUCCUUUUGGUUUGCCCCCACGAAUCGACCUCCUGGACUACUGUCUUCAACCUUCGGUUCGUAAGUAAUUUCCGAGUGAUUAUUCAUUUUUUGGGGUUCUGGGUUUGCAAUCUAUGGCUUACUCAUACGAUAUGACCACUUCAAUCAACCCGUUUUCACAUAGUUUCGAGAACCUUAGUUUUGGAUUUGUGCGUGGUGGGUCAAUGUUAUCUAAGUCUUUAGCGUUGAAUGGUGAGAAGGAAGAGCUCGUAAAAGCCUCGACUCAGCCGUCGAAGAAAAGGGUGUCGGAGGAGAAAGCACUUGCGGCGCUAAAGAAUCACAGCGAGGCGGAGAGGCGGAGGCGAGAGAGAAUCAAUUCCCAUCUCUCGACUCUGCGUGGCCUUGUUCCUUGCCCCAUUAAGAGGGACAAAGCAACACUGCUCGCUGAAGUUGUCAGACAAGUGAAAGAAUUGAAGAAGAAGGCUGCAGAAGCCAGCAAUGGAGUUUUCGUUCCAUUGGACACUGACGAAGUCAGCGUCGAACCUUGUGGGGUGGGAGCAAACGGGCAUAUGACCUUCAAGGCAACAAUUUGUUGCGAAUAUCAACCGGAGCUUCUGUGUGAUCUAAAACAAGCCCUUGAUUCCCUUCACCUGAAGUUAGUAAAGUCAGAGAUAUCCACUUUGGGAAACAGAGUGAAGAGCGUAUUCUUUUUCACCAGCUCCAUAGCAGAGAAGGCUGCGCAUUCCGAGGCUUCCCGACUUCUCGCAUCAUCGGUUCACAGGGCAAUAAGUUCAGUUCUUGAGAAAGCUUCAUCCGUAGAAUACUCGCCGAGAACAACUACAACGCUCCCAAGGAAAAGGCGAAGGCUGUCUAGUUUCCAUACGUCUAGAUAGCCAUUAGUAUGAACAGUUCACAAAGGACAAUUACCUGCCAAUAACAUGAAUAGCUUCGAUGGCUCGUGAAGAAGAAUGGAAUUUGAAGUGACAUCUCUUUAUGCUGUUCACUCUCGUGUCACCAUUAUUCCGUCUGCGCUCUGUUCCAAUUCUCAUAACAAAAUCAGAUUCCAAAUUCACUUCCUCUCAUUCCAUCAUCAAUCAAAAUCAUGCCUCCUUCUCUAUUCCCUUAUUCGUACAUCAAAAUUCGGUUCCUAACUCGCGUCCGCCAAUUCCUUCGCUCCAAAUCAUCUCGUAAGCGAUUCCGUUCACCAUCUGAUCCGUCGGAUAUUUCGAGGCCAGAAAUUCGGGAAAGAGAAGAGACUAAUAUCCGGCAGUAUGAUCAGGCGUCGUCCGUGUUGCAGAGGACAGUGAAGAGCCUCCACUUCGGCGACGGGGAGGAAAAACAGAGAGCGGCGAAGGAGAUUGAGAGGUUGAUUAAAGAGAGCGCCAAGGUUAGAAAACUGAUGGUGGAUCUCGGAGUUAUACCUGCUUUGGUGGCGAUGGCGGAUUCCGAUCAGUUGGCAGUUAGGGCAUUGAUUGAACUUGCUAACGAUACUCUCCUGAACAAGAUAGUAAUGGUGGAGGAAGGGAUCUUAUCAAAGCUACCGAAGAACACCCAGUUCGCAACAAUGGAUUCAUCCAGCUUUGAAUUUGUAGAGCUUUUAUUUUCACUUUCAUGUCUAGCAAACACCCAGUUGUUUCUUGCUUCAACCGAACCAGUUAUUUCAUAUCUCUUAACCAUACUCAACCAUUCAAAAUCCAGCCCUGAAACCAGAGCAUUUUGUUUGGCAACUUUAUUCAACAUUUCCACCGUCCUAGAAAAUGCAGAGACCUUAAUCUCCAAUGGUGUGGUUCCAACGCUACUCAGAUUCUCCAGUGUCAGAGAGUUUUCCGAGAAAGCCUUACCGACGCUAGCAAACUUGGCAGUGACUUCAAAAUGGAAGCAAGCUCUGGAAAGCAACUCAACAUUCGCAGAGAUUUUGGUAGAGAUUUUGACAUGGGAAGAGAAACCCAAAUGCCAAGAACUUUCAGCGGACAUCAUAAUGAUUCUGGGCCAUCAAAGCUGGGCGCAAAGGGAGAGAUUGGGCGAGUCCUGCAUCGCCCCUGCGCUGCUGGGAUUGGCGCUGUUAGGAAGCUCAUUAGCUCAAAAGCGAGCUCUGAAACUGCUGCAAUGGUUUAAAGAUGAGAGGGAGGCAAGAGUGGGGCCGCAUUCUGGACCUCAAAGGGCUGGGAUAGUUGCAGUAGGCUCAGGAUUGAGUCAGAAGGAGGUUGAGAAAGGGAAGAGGAUAAUGAGAAGCCUGGUGAAGCAGAGUCUGUAUAAGAACAUGGAGAUAAUAACUCGACGAGCCAAUGCUGCUGGGGAAUGUUACAGUCCAACCGUUAGGAGGGCCUUGGUUUCCAGCAUUAGUUCCAAGAGUUCGCCUUUUUGAAACACCUCCAAAUCCAUUACGCAUUUGUAAACUUUCAUCGGCCUGCCCCUCUGUAUUCUAUCAUUCUCGUCUUCUGCAGCUCAAUCAACGCCAAAGAAGUCAAGAAAUUUGUUAGAUGAACCUGACUAGGUUGAUAUUGUCCGCCUAAAUUCUCAUAGCUUCCCUAAAUUAUAUUUCAGA